rnacentral:rRNA from 1 species
AUUGAACGCUGGCGGCAGGCCUAACACAUGCAAGUCGAGCGGAUGAAGGGAGCUUGCUCCUGGAUUCAGCGGCGGACGGGUGAGUAAUGCCUAGGAAUCUGCCUGGUAGUGGGGGAUAACGUCCGGAAACGGGCGCUAAUACCGCAUACGUCCUGAGGGGGAAAGUGGGGGAUCUUCGGACCUCACGCUAUCAGAUGAGCCUAGGUCGGAUUAGCUAGUUGGUGGGGUAAAGGCCUACCAAGGCGACGAUCCGUAACUGGUCUGAGAGGAUGAUCAGUCACACUGGAACUGAGACACGGUCCAGACUCCUACGGGAGGCAGCAGUGGGGAAUAUUGGACAAUGGGCGAAAGCCUGAUCCAGCCAUGCCGCGUGUGUGAAGAAGGUCUUCGGAUUGUAAAGCACUUUAAGUUGGGAGGAAGGGCAGUAAGUUAAUACCUUGAUGUUUUGACGUUACCAAAAGAAUAAGCACCGGCUAACUUCGUG